ACGGAAGGCAGCAGUGGGGAAUAUUGGACAAUGGGGGAAACCCUGAUCCAGCGACGCCGCGUGAGUGAAGAAGUAUUUCGGUAUGUAAAGCUCUAUCAGCAGGGAAGAUAAUGACGGUACCUGACUAAGAAGCCCCGGCUAACUACGUGCCAGCAGCCGCGGUAAUACGUAUGGAGCAAGCGUUAUCCGGAUUUACUGGGUGUAAAGGGAGCGUAGACGGUAAAGCAAGUCUGAAGUGAAAUCCCGGGGCUCAACCCCGGAACUGCUUUGGAAACUGUUUAACUAGAGUGCAGGAGAGGUAAGCGGAAUUCCUAGUGUAGCGGUGAAAUGCGUAGAUAUUAGGAGGAACACCGGUGGCGAAGGCGGCUUGCUGGACGAUGACUGACGCUGAGGCUCGAAAGCGUGGGGAGCAAACAGGAUUAGAUACCCUGGUA
rnacentral:rRNA from 1 species